rnacentral:rRNA from 1 species
UGCAUAUCAAAAGCGGAGGAAAAGAAACCAACAGGGAUUGCCUUAGUAACGGCGAGUGAAGCGGCAAAAGCUCAAAUUUGAAAUCGGCCACCAGGUCGAGUUGUAAUUUGUAGAUUGUAUCUUGAGAGCGGAUUAAAGUCUGUUGGAACACAGCGCCUUAGAGGGUGACAGCCCCGUAAAAUCUAUUCUCAUUGUAAGAUACUUUCGAAGAGUCGAGUUGUUUGGGAAUGCAGCUCUAAGUGGGAGGUAAAUUCCUUCUAAAGCUAAAUAUUGACGAGAGACCGAUAGCGAACAAGUACUGUGAAGGAAAGAUGAAAAGCACUUUGAAAAGAGAGUGAAAAAGUACGUGAAAUUGUUAAAAGGGAAGGGUAUUGAAUCAGACUUGGUGCUGUUGUUCAACUGUGUUUCGGCAUAGUGUACUCAGCAGUACUAGGCCAAGGUGGGGUGUUUGGGAGUGAAAAAGAAGUUGGAACGUAACUCUUCGGAGUGUUAUAGCCUACUUUCAUAGCUCCUCAGGCGCCUCAGGACUGCGCUUCGGCAAGGACCUUGGCAUAAUGAUUCUAUACCGCCCGUCUUGAAACACG